AGAUGGAACAGCUAGCAAAUCCCAAAGCAUGGAUCAAUGCUGCAACACAGAUUUUUUUUUCACUUGGUCUUGGCUUUGGAAGCCUUAUUGCCUUUGCAAGUUACAAUGAACCCAAUAACAAUUGUGAACGGCAUGCCAUCAUUGUUUCUCUUAUUAACAGUGGCACAUCUAUAUUUGCCAGUAUUGUGACUUUUUCCAUUUAUGGAUUUAAGGCAACCUUUAACUAUGAAAACUGCCUGAGCAA